GGCUCAGUGGUAAAGAGUCUGCCUGCCAAGCAGGAGACCCAGGUUCGAUCCCUGG
rnacentral:tRNA from 1 species